rnacentral:rRNA from 1 species
GACGAACGCUGGCGGCGUGCCUAAUACAUGCAAGUCGAACGCAGUGGGGCCGGGUGAGUAACACGUGGGUAACCUCCCAUCAGAGGGGAUAACACUUGGAAACCGGUGCUAAACCGACAUUGAUGGAUGGACCCGCGGUGCAUUAGCUAGUUGGUGAGGUAACGGCUCACCAGGGCCAAGAUGCUUAGCCGGCCUGGUAGGGUGAUCGGCCAUACGGGGCCUGAAAAACGGCCCAGACUCCUACGGGAGGCAACAGUAGUGAAUGUGCAGCAAUUGGCGAAAGUGUAAACGAGCAGCGCGAGGUGAGUGAAGAAGGUUUAAGGAUCGUAAAACGCUGUUGUGAGGAGAACGGUACCUAACCAGAAAGCCACGACUAAUUACGUGCCAGCAGCCGCGGUAAUA